UGAGACCAAAGACCCUGCUUAUUUCUGU
rnacentral:piRNA from 1 species